ACUUACGGCCAUACCACCCUGAGAACGCCCGAUCUCGUCUGAUCUCGGAAGCUAAGCAGGGUCGGGCCUGGUUAGUACUUGGAUGGGAGACCACCUGGGAAUACCAGGUGCUGUAAGCC
ensembl:rRNA 5S_rRNA 5S ribosomal RNA